AUUGAACGUUGGCGGCAUGCCUUACACAUGCAAGUCGAACGGCAGCACGGAGCUUGCUCUGGUGGCGAGUGGCGAACGGGUGAGUAAUAUAUCGGAACGUACCCUAGAGUGGGGGAUAACGUAGCGAAAGUUACGCUAAUACCGCAUACGAUCUAAGGAUGAAAGUGGGGGAUCGCAAGACCUCAUGCUCGUGGAGCGGCCGAUAUCUGAUUAGCUAGUUGGUAGGGUAAAAGCCUACCAAGGCAUCGAUCAGUAGCUGGUCUGAGAGGACGACCAGCCACACUGGAACUGAGACACGGUCCAGACUCCUACGGGAGGCAGCAGUGGGGAAUUUUGGACAAUGGGCGAAAGCCUGAUCCAGCAAUGCCGCGUGAGUGAAGAAGGCCUUCGGGUUGUAAAGCUCUUUUGUCAGGGAAGAAACGGUGAAAGCUAAUAUCUUUUGCUAAUGACGGUACCUGAAGAAUAAGCACCGGCUAACUACGUGCCAGCAGCCGCGGUAAUACGUAGGGUGCAAGCGUUAAUCGGAAUUACUGGGCGUAAAGCGUGCGCAGGCGGUUUUGUAAGUCUGAUGUGAAAUCCCCGGGCUCAACCUGGGAAUUGCAUUGGAGACUGCAAGGCUAGAAUCUGGCAGAGGGGGGUAGAAUUCCACGUGUAGCAGUGAAAUGCGUAGAUAUGUGGAGGAACACCGAUGGCGAAGGCAGCCCCCUGGGUCAAGAUUGACGCUCAUGCACGAAAGCGUGGGGAGCAAACAGGAUUAGAUACCCUGGUAGUCCACGCCCUAAACGAUGUCUACUAGUUGUCGGGUCUUAAUUGACUUGGUAACGCAGCUAACGCGUGAAGUAGACCGCCUGGGGAGUACGGUCGCAAGAUUAAAACUCAAAGGAAUUGACGGGGACCCGCACAAGCGGUGGAUGAUGUGGAUUAAUUCGAUGCAACGCGAAAAACCUUACCUACCCUUGACAUGGCUGGAAUCCUCGAGAGAUUGAGGAGUGCUCGAAAGAGAACCAGUACACAGGUGCUGCAUGGCUGUCGUCAGCUCGUGUCGUGAGAUGUUGGGUUAAGUCCCGCAACGAGCGCAACCCUUGUCAUUAGUUGCUACGAAAGGGCACUCUAAUGAGACUGCCGGUGACAAACCGGAGGAAGGUGGGGAUGACGUCAAGUCCUCAUGGCCCUUAUGGGUAGGGCUUCACACGUCAUACAAUGGUACAUACAGAGCGCCGCCAACCCGCGAGGGGGAGCUAAUCGCAGAAAGUGUAUCGUAGUCCGGAUUGUAGUCUGCAACUCGACUGCAUGAAGUUGGAAUCGCUAGUAAUCGCGGAUCAGCAUGUCGCGGUGAAUACGUUCCCGGGUCU
rnacentral:rRNA from 1 species